rnacentral:lncRNA from 1 species
UAUGGUGACAUAGAUGAUAUCUAACCUAAGCAUGAGACUUGAGCAUCUUAAGGAUAUUGUUUCCAAGCUCAGCACUAAAAUCUUUGAUUUGGAGAGAGAAGUGAAGAGAUUGACUCUUCCUACCAGACCGAGCGAUGAUGAUACUACACAUCUAUCAGAUUUGUCAGUCGAGGUAGGCAAGCUAUGUAGUUUGAUUAGGUCAGCAGUUGAGUCUCUAAGAUAGAGGUUAAAGGAUCGAGUGAUGAUGUUUUCACUAGGAUCUGCUUACUUUUGUAGUCCAUGUCAUCAAUGAUAGCUCAGCUUAACUCUCUUAGGAUUUAGUUACUUUCUAGAGCUCCUACUUCUUCCUAUCAUUCUAGACCAUCUCAUUCC